ACGGGACCCGCACAAGCGUGGAUGAUGUGGAUUAAUUCGAUGCAACGCGAAAACCUUACCUACCCUUGACAUGUCCGGAAUCCCGAAGAGAUUUGGGAGUGCUCGCAAGAGAGCCGGAACACAGGUGCUGCAUGGCUGUCGUCAGCUCGUGUCGUGAGAUGUUGGGUUAAGUCCCGCAACGAGCGCAACCCUUAUCAUUAGUUGCUACGCAAGGGCACUCUAAUGAGACUGCCGGUGACAAACCGGAGGAAGGUGGGGAUGACGUCAAGUCCUCAUGGCCCUUAUGGGUAGGGCUUCACACGUCAUACAAUGGUCGGUACAGAGGGUUGCCAAGCCGCGAGGUGGAGCCAAUCCCAGAAAGCCGAUCGUAGUCCGGAUUGUUCUCUGCAACUCGAGAGCAUGAAGUCGGAAUCGCUAGUAAUCGCGGAUCAGCAUGUCGCGGUGAAUACGUUCCCGGGUCUU
rnacentral:rRNA from 1 species